rnacentral:rRNA from 1 species
CAAUCGCGUAUAUUAAAGUUGUGGCGGUUAAAAAGCUCAUAGUUGGAAUUCUGCUGAGGACGACAGGUCCGCCCUCUGGGUGAGUAUCUGGCACGGCCUGGGCAUCUUCUUGGAGAACGUAGUUGCACUUGACUGCGUGGUGCGGUAUCCAGGACCUUCACUUUGAAGAAAUUAGAGUGUUUCAAGCAGACAUGCGCCUUGAAUACAUUAACAUGGGAUAACAAGAUAGGACCUCGGUUCCAUGUUGUUGGCUUCUAGAGCUGAUGCAAUGAUUAUUAAGGAUAGUUUUGGGUCAUUCGUAUGUAACUGUCAGAUGUGAAAUUCUUGGAUGUGUUAAAGACGGACUACUGCGAAAGCAUUCGCCAAGGAUGUUUUCUAUUGAACACUAACGAAAGUUAGGGGAUCGAAGACGAUUAGAUACCGU